rnacentral:rRNA from 1 species
UAGGGAAUCUUCCACAAUGGACGAAGGCCUGAUGGAGCAACGCCGCGUGAGUGAAGAAGGGUUUCGGCUCGUAAAACUCUGUUGUUAAAGAAGAACAUAUCUGAGAGUAACUGUUCAGGUAUUGACGGUAUUAACCAGAAAGCCACGGCUAACUACGUGCCAG